GUGCUCACUUAAGCAGCAUAUAUACUAAAAUCAGGACGAUACAGAGAUUAGCCUGGCGCCUGUACAAGGAUGACAUGAAAAUUCAUAAAGCAUUCCAUAUUUUU